UUAGUCCUAAUUAUCCCAUAAGCUGCACUUUGACCAAUUAAAAAAACAGCAGAUAGACACCCUAAAUAUCAUCUUAAAGCGCCACCAGGCUGCCCUUCCAUCAAGUGCUUUUGGCCCUAUGUUUAUCAUUAAUUAAUAUUGGGCAAAUUUGCACCCUGGCAUUAACCCAUAGCAACCAAUCCUUUUUCAACUGGCUGCUAGUGAUCUGAUUGGUUGUCCUGGGAUCCUGGCCAGAUAAUCUGAAUGAGGGUGAAAGAAAUACAAAUUACGUUGUGUUUAUAUAAAAUAAUAUUUCUCUCGUUUAUCAUUAUAAUAUGAUCUUUAUAAUAAAUAUGUUUUCCCAGUCUUGCAGAACACCACUCGACUGUGGAAGCCCAAGUUGCGGCGCCCAACUUUUGUUUUUGUCAAACAAAAUGUCAUGCCAACUUUGAAAGAAGGAGAGUUAGAGCGCCCAACUGCUGAUACCACCAAAGCAGACAAUGGGCCUGUCAAUGUCACCCCAAGGUGGAAAAAAGAUGAGUCACGUCGCCCAACUGCUGGUAAGUUAUACCAUUAUUAUACCCUUCCAUGUACAUAAUGAUAUUUAUAUUAUAUGCCAAGUGUACUGAGCUCAUAAAAUUAAUUAUAUCUAUAUUUUCCUACUAGAUACCACCAAAGCAGACUAUGGGCCUGUCAACAGAAAAAGAAAAAUGGGUAAGCUUUUAGUUAGUCUUUACAUUUUUUACUAUUUAGAUUGUUUUAAGCUUGACUUUAAGGUCAGGGCCUUCUCUUGCCACAUAACAAAGUUAGGGAUUAAUAGAUUUAUACAAGUAUCAUUCUGUAGUUACAAGUAUAUCCAGUCCUGCAAAGAAGUGCCCUCCCCAUAUUAACCAGAGUGUUGAGGCCUGUGGCCAUUCCGUUAAGGCAGAACACAGUGUGCAAAGCGCAAAAAAGUGGCCGAUUGUGGCAUUUUUGUUUGCACACUGCAUUCUGCAUAGUAAAUGACCCCAUAGUUGUAAAAUACAUCAUAUUAUAGAAGAUAUUCUGUUAACAAUGACACUGACUGCUACAUAGCACCACAUUGAUUGCUAUUACUAGAUUUGAGGGUUAUGCGUUUGAUCCCUAAAAUCUUCUGUAGGUAGUCUGUAUGUUAUCAUUUGUUUUUUGGGGUUUUGCGCCCAAGCAUGAUUACACUCAUGUUAAUUAGCUUUUUAUAAUAGUGACCCUAGAGUGUGUGGCAGUUCAAGCUUUACUCUAUUGCUCAGCUUAGAUAGGUCAUUGUAUUUCUAUAAAUAUACAUAUAUAUAUAUAUUUAUCUUCUUUGUCUUCUAGACAAUAUCAAUAUAGAAGAAAGAGGCGGCAUGCCUAAAACAAAGGACGAAAGAGGCAAAAUGCCUAAAAAUAUGAAUGAAAGAGGCGGCAUGAAAAAGAAAAUGGAUGAAAGAGGCGAGAUGGCUAAGAAUAUGGAUGAAAGAGGCGAGAUGGCUAAAAGGAGAAAAAUAAGUAAGUUGUUGGCUGUUAAUAAUUCACAGUUCACUUUCUUUCAAGAAUCUAAAAACAUUUGAAAGCUUGACGUUUCAAUAUUAUGGACGUUAAUGCUCUAUGACCCCGUCCUAUACACAUAACUGUUGGAACUGGUGGUAUUGGGAUUGGAAUUGUUGACUUGCAGCACUAUAAUCCUUGUCUUGACUCUGACUAUGUAACUACUGACUACUACUCUCUGUACAGGGAUUAUAUGCUGUCCCUGUGUUUCCAUGAGGUUCAAGCCAAUAAUACAGGGGUAGAUAAACUUGAUAAAGCCCUAGAGAGCAUAUACUAUUAAUUGAGAAAUGGGAAUGUAAGCUCUGCAGGGUGAAGGAAAAACAUGCUAUAUAAUAAUAUAUCCACAAAACCCCAGGUCCCAAGAAUUCCCAUGCCUGUACCAGUUGAUACUAUAAUGUUCUUGGACACAACGUGCAUAAAUCAAGCUAUAUGCAGAAAUAACAUUUAUUCACAAUACAUUACUAUCUUGUGAUUUUUAGCCUUUGAAGAUUUCCCCCCAAAGUGGAAGAGAGAGAGGCAACAUUCUUGGAACCAUGGUGAGAUAUUUUACGUUUUUUGUGUUUUAAGGGUUAAUGUGAAGCAGAAGAAAUAGUUACCAUGAA